rnacentral:tRNA from 1 species
UUUAAUAUGGCAGAAUUAGUGCAUUGGAUUUAAACCCCAAAUAUAAAGACAUUUUCUUUUAUUAAAA